rnacentral:rRNA from 1 species
CCCUUAGAUGUCCUGGGCCGCACGCGCGUUACACUGAUGCACUCAACGAGCAUAUAACCUUGGCCGAGAGGCCUGGGUAAUCUUGUUAACAUGCAUCGUGAUAGGGAUAGAUUAUUGCAAUUAUUAAUCUUGAACGAGGAAUUCCUAGUAAUCGCAGAUCAUCAAUCUGCAAUGAUUACGUCCCUGCCCUUUGUACACACCGCCCGUCGCACCUACCGAUUGAAUGGUCCGGUGAGGACUCGGGAUUGUGGUUUGGCUCCUUCAUUGGGGCCUGACUGUGAGAACUUGUCCAAACCUUAUCAUUUAGAGGAAGGUGAANUCGUAACA